UAACGCGUGGGAAUCUGCCCUGGAGUGGGGGAUAACCCGGCGAAAGCCGGGCUAAUACCGCAUACGUCCUGAGGGAGAAAGAUUUAUCGCUCUAGGAGGGGCCCGCGUCGGAUUAGCUAGUUGGUGGGGUAACGGCUCACCAAGGCGACGAUCCGUAGCUGGUCUGAGAGGAUGAUCAGCCACACUGGGACUGAGACACGGCCCAGACUCCUACGGGAGGCAGCAGUGGGGAAUAUUGGACAAUGGGGGCAACCCUGAUCCAGCAAUGCCGCGUGAGUGAUGAAGGCCUUAGGGUUGU
rnacentral:rRNA from 1 species